AACGAACGCUGGCGGCAGGCUUAACACAUGCAAGUCGAGCGCCCCGCAAGGGGAGCGGCAGACGGGUGAGUAACGCGUGAGAAUCUACCCAUCUCUACGGAAUAACGCAUGGAAACGUGUGCUAAUACCGUAUACGUCCUUCGGGAGAAAGAUUUAUCGGAGAUGGAUGAGCCCGCGUUGGAUUAGCUAGUUGGUGGGGUAAAGGCCUACCAAGGCGACGAUCCAUAGCUGGUCUGAGAGGAUGAUCAGCCACACUGGGACUGAGACACGGCCCAGACUCCUACGGGAGGCAGCAGUGGGGAAUAUUAGACAAUGGGCGCAAGCCUGAUCCAGCCAUGCCGCGUGAGAGAUGAAGGCCCUAGGGUUGUAAAGCUCUUUCACCGGUGAAGAUAAUGACGGUAACCGGAGAAGAAGCCCCGGCUAACUUCGUGCCAGCAGCCGCAGUAACAC
rnacentral:rRNA from 1 species